GCCUGGCUGGCUCAGUGGGUAUAGCAUAUGACUCUUGAUCACAGCGUCAUGAGUUCAAGUCCUAUGUUAGGCA
rnacentral:tRNA from 1 species